rnacentral:rRNA from 1 species
UGAGUGCGAGCUGCUACGGCAGCGAAGUUGGUGACGUCAUGCUUCCAAGAAAAGCCCUAUACCCGUUAAGGCAUCAUGGCCUGUACCCGAAACCGACACAGGUGGGGUGGUAGAGAAUACCGAGGGGCGCGAGGUAACUCUCUCUAAGGAACUCGGCAAAAUGGCCCCGUAACUUCGGGAGAAGGGGUGCCACCGCAAGGUGGUCGCAGUGAAGAGGCCCAGGCGACUGUUUACCAAAAACACAGGUCUCCGCUAAGUCGCAAGACGAUGUAUGGGGGCUGACGCCUGCCCAGUGCCGGAAGGUUAAGGAAGCUGGUCAGCGCAAGCGAAGCUAGCGACUGAAGCCCCGGUGAACGGCGGCCGUAACUAUAACGGUCCUAAGGUAGCGAAAUUCCUUGUCGGGUAAGUUCCGACCCGCACGAAAGGCGUAACGAUCUGGGCGCUGUCUCGGAGAGAGGCUCGGCGAAAUAGAAUUGUCUGUGAAGAUGCGGACUACGUGCACCCGGACAGAAAGACCCUAUGAAGCUUUACUGUAGCUUGGUAUUGUGCCCGGGCUCGCAAUGCGCAGGAUAGGUGGGAGACUUUGAUCAUCGGCUUGCGGGUCGAUGUGAGCCAACGGUGAGAUACCACUCUUUGCGAGCUAGGGUUCUAACGGCCACCCGUCAUCCGGGGGCCGGACAGUACCUGGUGGGCAGUUUGACUGGGGCGGUCGCCUCCUAAAAGGUAACGGAGGCGCGCAAAGGUUUGCUCAGGCUGGUUGGAAAUCAGCCGACGAGUGUAAAAGCAGAAGCAAGCUUGACUGUGAGACCAACAAGUCGAACAGGGAGGAAACUCGGCUUUAGUGAUCCGACGGUUCUGAGUGGAAGGGCCGUCGCUCAACGGAUAAAAGUUACUCUAGGAUAACAGGCUGAUCUCCCCCAAGAGUUCACAUCGACGGGGAGGUUUGGCACCUCGAUGUCGGCUCAUCGCAACCUGGGGCUGAAGUCGGUCCCAAGGGUUGGGCUGUUCGCCCAUUAAAGCGGUACGCGAGCUGGGUUCAGAACGUCGUGAGACAGUUCGGUCCAUAUCCGGUGCACGCGCAGGAAUAUUGAGAGGAUUUCUCCCUAGUACGAGAGGACCGGGAGGAACGCACCUCUGGUGUACCAGUUAUCGUGCCAACGGUAAACGCUGGGUAGCCAUGUGCGGAGUGGAUAACCGCUGAAAGCAUCUAAGUGGGAAGCCCACCUCAAGAUGAGUAUUCCCAUGGCGUAAGCCAGUAAGGUCACGGGAAGAACACCCGUUGAUAGGCUCUAUGUGGAAGCGCAGUAAUGCGUGAAGCAGAGGAGUACUAAUAGACCGAGGGCUUGAC